GAACGUGCGAGACGCCGGGCCCCCGCCUCUGCCGCCGUUCUGCAGUGUCUGCACCCGGCCGCUUAAUGAGAUUUAUUCACGCUCGGCUCUGCUCAUCUUUGCCAGGGGUUGGCAGAUCCAGUGCACAGGGAUUUCCCACCGCAGUGUUUUUCUCCCGCCCCUUUGCUUCCCUCUCGCCGUAGUAUAUCCUUCCUUGGUUUCCUCCCGGGGCCCGCCGGCUGCGUCCCGGGCGCGCGCCUGGACAUGUAAGGACUUGUCAGUUCCCAGUGACCUCCCUCCUCCCCUGCCUUCUUCGGCGGAAUGUAGGAUUAAGAGCCCUUCAGCGAAAUUUUCGGCCAAAGAAAAAGGCCCAUGAAAGUCACCGCAUCAGAUGUGGACUCCCAGUGUUACUCAUUAAUGGUUUGUGUGAGGGUUUACUAGCCUAAGGCCAGAAAGCAAAAGGGAAGGCCCGUUAGACGAAACAACUUCAUCCAAAAAGGAGGGGUGCAGUUGUGAAAGCAAGGGGUUAAAAAAAAGUGUAGUAAGCGAUGCAGCUGAGUUGUCCAUAAUAUUGGAACCAUUAGGUUUUUGUCUGACUUGGUCACUAACACUGGGCGUGACCUUGGACAAAUUGUUUUUUUCCGGGGCCUCAGUUUGCUCACCUGUGAAACGAGAGUUUUCACUUAAAAAUUUGUAAGAGUUUCCUCCCAGUAAAAUUAUUUAAGCAGUAGACGGCAGAAACCGUGGUUUCGAGUUUGAAAUAUGCUACUGAAUUAGGACUUUUGACAGUCAUUUUCAAUCUAUCCAAAUUAGAGAUCGUUCUUUCACACAUGUAUUUCCAGGUGUAUUUUAAUGGUUAAUAGGUUGCUAUAUAUUUGAAGUGUUGUGAGAGAUUCUCAUUUGGAGAUACUGUGGUUCUCAAAGUAGGAAAACCAGAAAGCUCAAAGGGAGAGCACUGGUAAGCUGUCUAUAAAUUCCACGACAUAAAAUGCUAAUAAGAAUCUGUGCUCCAGGGAAUUCGAGACUGAUUACCGCAUCAAAUUAGCUUGCGUUUUCAACCUGAGAGCAUGAUUAUAAACAUAUCUUGCAAGAUUUCUACUAAUAUCCAGAAAAUUACCUAGUAUCUUAAGAGGCAAAAUCUCUUAAGUUGGUUUAAGUUUUAGAUGGCAAUGGAAGUGAUUUUUAAAAAGGACUACCAUACAAAAUGCAUUUUCUGGAAAAAUAUCUUGUACAAGCUGAAUAUCAGAUGCACAGUACCAGUGAUUCUCACAGUAUUCUAUGCCACUAGAGUGUUCUUUAAAAUUUAAAAUUUUGAAAAAAGAUUUAAUAGCUUGGCCCUUACUAAAUCACAUUUUUGAGGGAUGGGACCUGGAAAUCUGUCUUGUUAGCAACUCCACCCACCGCUGUUGUGGUUCUUCGAUAAUAUAAAAUCAUGAAUGUCUGUAUUAUAUUACAAUCUAGUAAACCCAUAAUAUUUAUACUAUUCCUAACUAGAAAAAGGUAAAAGUGUUCCUGCCUGGGAAAUCCCAUUGACAGAAGAGUCUGGUGGGUUACAGUACAUGGGUCACAAGUGUUGAACACAAUUUAGUGACUAAACAAUUAGCAACCAUCAAAUUCACAGAUUAGCUAUUUCUAGAAAAUGUUUUCUUUCCUCCUACCUCUUAAAUCAACAUCAUUUACUUUAAGAAAAGGCAGUUGCAACCACCAUUCCGAUCCUUCUAGAACUCCAAGGAAGGAAUGUUCACUCUUGAAGAAAAACAUUUGCAGCAUGAAAUUAGGAUAUUGUGUCCAGUUACAUGCAAUUAAAUUAAUGCUCAGAUUGAAAACCUGACAGUACUCCCCUAAUUAAUCACUGUCAAAUGUGUUUUGUAAAUAUAUUCUUCAGAGGUAAGAAAGAGCUCUGGACUCUUGAGUUAGAGAAUGAAAAACCAUCAUUUACUAGGUAAAUGAGUUUGGAAAGAUAACUGUUUUGGGGGGUUUCUUUCCUCAUCUAAAUGGAGAGUAAUUCCUGUUUUAACUUUUAUGGGAUAUUAUAUGAGAUAAUAUAUAUAAAAGUAUCCUAAUAAUCUUUGACAUCAGACAUUUAACUCAUCUGAAAACAGUAAAAUCAUUUGGAACUCUUACCUACAUACAAUAUGAGAAAUGCUGAAAUUGAACUCUAUACUCAAUAACCUUAAAGCAUCUUUUUUAGUUGUUACUGUUAAGUGACUGUUUGCCAAAUGAUUUGAGAUAUAGUGACAAAAGAAGCAGACAUGUUUCCUGCUCUUAGAGGUUUUACAGUCUAGCAUCACAGAAAUGUAUUAUCGUCAUAUCAAUGAACAUGUGAUCAUCUCUUCUGGUUCACUGACCUAUGCUCAUCAUGUCAUGCCUUUAGUAAAAGCCUGCUCAGCCUUCUAUACCAAUGCUGUUCAAUGUCUGUUAGCAUCUGCCUCUUAGCAGUUUAUAAUCUAGAACAGAAAGCAAUGGACACCAUAAUUUUUUGGCAGAUAUUAUAAGAUGGCUUACUCAACACUUAUCCAACCCCCUUCUAGCUUGCUUUUCUGUACUUCAGAAGUUAGAAAAUUAUAAAAUACUGUUUCAACACUGCCUUGCAACUGGAGUACUGGCAUGGAUGAGUGGUGUGCUGGUAAGUCAUUAAGGAUGGCUGGAGGAGGGGAAAGACCCUGAUUUCUAGUACUGACCAAUUUUCAUUGUGUGAAUACUCCCAGGCUAUCAAAGUGGUUUCACUGAAUGGGGAGUUAGUUGGAGAAGAAGCUGAGGAUUACCAGCUAGCUUCAGCCUUUCACUCCAUGCGACCUAGUUUCCAGCAAUCAAAUGUGCCCAUUCAAGACAUAGACCUGAAAAUGAGCAACACAAUGCCUCAACUGCACUCAGGGCAAUGGGAUUUUCUGGCAAACACCAUGGCAGAGGUGUCUGAUUCUUCUGAGUAGCUGGGGAGGAAUUCUGGCAUCCGUUUUGGGAGUCUUAGGUGCUGUGGCAAGAGGUGCUACGGUGGGUUUCUGCUAGAAUAGCAAUGUGAUGUGGGAUGAAUGUUCUUCCUGGUGUGGUUUUUUUCUGGAUGUUGUUUCUAGCGAUGUAUUAUCCAAGCCUGAUUGUCUGGUCCUCUCAGAGAUCUAUGAGCUAAGUACUAUCCUUUAAUCCCUUUCUGCUUAAACUAGCUCAGUCACAGUCAGCUACACAGUUUGUUGAGCCCAGAGCAAAAUGAAAAAUGUAGGGCCCCUGUUCACAAAGCAGGAAAAAAGUUGCCAUUACAUGUACUGAAAAUAUAAGGCUUUUUCUUUCUUCUGUCAUCUCUCCCUCAACUUGUCAUGCUGUUUUUUUAAUUUGUGUUUUAAUGUCAUUCUGAGUGUCGAAAAAUUAGAAUUUUAGAUUAUUAGGAUGAAUUUUAUAAUGUAUCUUUAAUUGUGCAGUGCCAUUUAUAGAUGCAAAUUCAAGAGCAUUUAACUCAUACACGAAAUCACCAAAAUUACACAGUUCAUAUUUUGUAGUUUGUACAUCCCACAAGGAUGUAUUUUGUGCUUUUCAGAGCAGUGUAAAUACUGCAUACAACCAACUCAGCUGUUUUUCUUUCCCUUCUUGAUAGGAGCACAGCCUAUCAACCUGAGUAAGGAAGGACUGAACUGAAAGGAACUAUGGGUUGCCCUACCUUUCCCCUUCCUUCUGUGUCAUCAUUUUCAGUGAAAAUAGUCAUACAGAAAAGUAACACACAAGAAAGGAUAUGACAGAGUUAUUUGGUCACGUGUGUAUCUUAAGAUGCCACUGUCUUGUUUCUGUACCUGACACAACUUCUGGUUGAAAUGGAAUGCAUUGCCUCUUAGAACUGUCAGUGCCUCCACUAAAUCAGUCGCUGAUGUAACAUGCUUGCCUUGUAGCCACUUUGUAACUCUCUGAGUUCCUGCACUACUUAGGUUCAUCAUAAUCCUUGUGAGGCAUUAUACUGAUGUAUGCAAACUGGGUAUAAGGAAAAAGACAAACAGGUUGCCUCCUCUACUUGCCUGUAUGAUCCAUUGUACCACUGACUUCUUUUAUAAAACAGACAUUCAAACAUAAAAGUAUUAAGAUUUUCAGCAUGGUAACUGCAGAGCAUUAAACCAAGCAGUGGACCCUGUAUGACUGCACAGUUUGCAUGCCCAUGAAGUUGACCCUGAGCUCAGUGUUUCUCAAGGGGGGUUCUCCUGAUAUUUUGGAUGAAACAAUUCUUUAUUGUGCAGGAUAUUUAACAUCCCUGACCCCUGGGCACUACAUUCCACUGUGAUAAAAAUGCCCCCAUAUAUUUCUAAAUGCCCCCAAAGAGGAGUUACUUCUCUCUACUGAACUCCUGGAGUGGACUCUGAUGUCUGCAGCUAGGAACCAUGAUCAUUACAGAUCUAGGAAAGGUCAUGUGCAAUUUUUGCUUUGGAUUCUCAAGCAGAGCAAAAUACAGAGUUGAGUUAAAAAAAGAUUUCAAAAUUCUCAUACCUGGGAGAGCAGAAUUAUGGUGAUCUUUUUUUUCCAUUAUCAGAAAAAUAAUAUGAACGACCUUGGUGAUGAAGCAAACAUUUGGGAAUGAAAAUUUAAAGGGGACCAGUGAAUUUUAUGUGUCACUUGCAUAUAAAUGGUAGUUGAUCUUUUCUAAGGGAAAUUUUUACUCAGUCCUUCAUACAGUGUCUGGCCUCUUUGAAACCAUGAUGGAAAAGAAACUCAUUUCCUCCUGGAAGGGAUUUAGAAGACCUAAGUAAAUAUGGCAAACUCUGGAGGCAGUUGCCAUUGGACUGCUCGCUCUCAAAAAGAGUUCAUGUAGGUUUCCCCCAGUUUAUUCACAGCAGUCAUCUGGGUAUAAGAUAGGCACAUAAAUAUGUAUUGCCUGAAUGAUUAAUAAAAUAUUUUUUUACUAAAAGAAUGGAGUUUUAUGUCUCUUCUUUAAAAAAAAAAAAAAACUGAAGGACAGUAAAAUUAAUCAUGGUGAGAGCUGAAUUUCUCUGUUCUUAUCUUUUUAACCAGUUAAUCUGCUCAGUCACAGGGAGAAACAAAACUUUCAGAAAACAACUUUCAACUCUUCUACUUCCAUAAAUUAGCAGUAGUAGUUUUAAGGGAGAGACCAAUAGCCUAUAAAUUAAAGAAGAUGUUUAGGAAACAAAAAACUUUCAGAAUAGAGUAAUAUUAGAAAUGAUGCUUGCGCUCUCCAGGACCCUCAUCUAAAUUACAUAUCCAGAACUAAUAUUGGGGCAUUUCCAGUGGAUUAUGCCUAGGCCGGAAGAAACCAAACCCAUAUAAUGAAUGAGGUUAGUUUAAGUUCUCAGUUUAAAUAAUCAAAAUAACAAAAUCUUACAAGCAAGUGUCUGUAGACAUAUCUCAGGGUAGUUUUCCCUUGCCCCAAAGUCCCCACUGCACAGCUUAAAUCACACUGCAGGAGAACUUCCACUAAUAAUUGUUACUGACAGUAAACUCUCCUGGGUUUUGAUCCUCAAUUUGCAUCCCCUUUCCAGGAGCCAGGAGAGCCUAUUUACUGUCAGAUGUGUAGGUCACAGAACACUUGUGUUUCCUUAUUUCAGUAAAAUAUGUUUCUCUAAUCUUAAAGAUUUGAAAUGCAUAGGAAAGAAAAUAUGAAAAACCAUAAAAUAUAGGACAUUCAAUCCCACCCAAAGGCAGUUAUGAUUAACAUUUUAGUCCAUUUUUUCCCUAGAAAAUGUUUCAAUAAAUACUUUUCAUAAUGGAAAUAAUCUCUUGGGUUCUUUUUUUCACUUUACAUUGAAGCAGAAACAUUUCCCAUGCAAAUGAGAAUUCUUUGUAUACAUUGUUCUAAUGGAUGCAGAAUACACUGUGUCAUGGAUGUACAAUAGCUUCCAUUUUCCUACUGUUGGCCAGUAACAAUGUUUCAAAUUUUGUUAUAAAUAUCACAGUGAUUAGCUCCAUUUUGGAUCCUACUCUUAACUUUGCAGGAAUUUACUUUACUGUUUAUUAUUUCACAAGAGCAUCAGUUCUCCAUACAUGCCAUGUUCUUCCUCUCCAAAGAAGAGAGAACUGUAUGUGAUUUUCUUUCUGCCUGGUUUGUUCUUCCACUCUCCACCUCUUUUCCCUAGUUACUCUUUAAAUUUCAGGUCAGGGACUUCCUUGGUGGUCCAGUGGCUAAGACUCUGAGCUCCCAGUCCAGGGGGCCCAGGUUCGAUCCUUGGUCAGGGAGCUAGAUCCCACAUGCUACAACUAAGACCCAGAGCAGCCAAAUUAAAAAAAAAAAAAAAUUCAGGUCAAAGUUCACUUAUGGAGGGCUUCCCCAACUGUAUUUGAUUAUGUUUCUCUGUUACACACUCUAAUUGUACUGUUUUUUUUUCCAUAGCACUUACCUUGUUGCAAUAACCCAUUCACUUGUGUAUAAUUUAAUUUUUGUCCCCCCCUCCAACUAGAAUACUACAAUCAUUAUCUGGAUAAGCAGUGAUUAUAAUGCUGUAAUAAACACAGGCCAAUUAAUGUGAUCUCAUACGUAUCGCUGAUAAAAUGGGUUAAAGCUUGAGGUUGAAAUUAGUCCAAAAAUACUAAGGUGCCAGUUAUUAUGCUAAGAGCUAGGAAUAUAGAAGUGAAAAUGACAGGCAUGACUUCAGCUUUCAUUCUUAUAUUCUAGUGCAGGGUUUAGCAAAUUUUUCCUGUAAAGGGACAGAUAAAUUUUAGGUUUUUCAGGCCAUACGGUCUCUCUCACAAACUAUUCAACUUUGCCAUAGAAACACAAAAACAAUCAUGAAUCACACAUAUAUGAAAGAGUGAAUUCCAAUAAAACUUUAUUUAAAAAACAGGCAGCGGGGCUGGGUUUGAUCCAUGAGCUGUUCACUGCUCCCUGGUCUAGUGGAAAAGACAGCUAUUAAACAGAUCAUUUGAGAUGACCAAAUACUUCCAAAGAACAGGGUGCCAUUCUCACAUGGCAAAGCUGUCCAACUUAGUCUAGAGAGAAGAAUAAAGACUUUCUUGAGGAAUAUGACUCUAAGUUAAUAUUUAAGGAGGAAGAGGAGUUAUCUGGGUAAAAGUAAGGGUAACAAUAGGGACCUUCCUGUGUCAGUAGAUGCUUAAAUUUAGAAGCAAGAUUUUUCAUAGGUAGUAAUGACACAAAUUUAGCUGUUUUCUCUUGGUCACCUAUAUUAAGCAUGUAUUUUAUUCCUUCUAAGCAUUUUGUAUUGUUUUAACUUUUUGUUAACUUGUUGAUAUCUAUAAAGUCCUAUGUUAGAUGCUGAGGGUGAUUCAAAAAAUGUAAGACCUAGCUCUGUGCUAAAGUAUUAUGUAAUUGACCAAUAAAUUGUAAGUUUCUUGACAUUUUGACAUUUCCUUUUUUACUUGCACAGUAUCACACAUAUGGUUGGUACUGCAGAAAUAGUUUUCCCCUGCUCUCUGCAUUGCACCAUUUGCUGACAAAAUGGUUUCCAGUAUAGCCACUUCUGUAUGACUUGGACAAAACGUGCUGCUCUCUGAAGCAGACACUAUUCUGAAGGCAUCAGUAACAGUAAUUUCAGCUUGUUGAAGGCAGGGGUUGUUUGUGUAAAGGUCAGCCUGUCAGUAAAUAACAUGCCAACCUGUUCCUUCAAGAUUGUAACAAACCUUUGUAUGUGUGUUUUUAUAUCUUUAAAAUUAAAAAAAAAAUUUUAAAGAAUAGUGGGAAACUGUACCCAGUGGUCUCACCAGAUGUUUUCAAACCAGAACUAGGGCAGUUGUGUUGUAAUUUGUUUUUGAAACAUUUACUUCCACAAAUUUAUGACAGCAGGGAACUGAGAGGUGGGUUUUGUUGUUGUUUUUUUUUUGCCUAAACUAGCAAGUAAUUUCAUUUUCCAUUCGACUUUAGCAGACCUAGCCUUAGGAUGAAAAUAUGGGACUUCCCAGAUAAUCCAUUGAGAACUGCACUCUCCCGGUGCAGGGCCCUGGGUUCGAUUCCUGGUUGGGGAACCAGAUCCCACAUACCACAGCUAAGAUCGAAGACCACACAUGCUGCAGCUAACACUCGGCACAGCCAAAUAUUUUUAAAAUGUGAAGCAGAGGUUCUUGCCAAGUUUAAAAAGUACAGCAAAGAUUAGUCUUAAGAAUGAGGGGAAACAUUACUCAUUUUUCUAGAGCCGCUGCUUCUGCAUUACUAUGAGCUGUUCCUAGACUGUAAACACAUAUACAUAAAGGAGAAAGACACCUUUCUAGAAUAUCCAGUCCCCUGUGCUAGGGAUAUCCAGGGUCUUUCCAAGAUUAUUAAUGACCAUGACACUUGGCUACAUCUGCCUCUUUACCAGUGUUCCUGCCCUCAUCCUGAGUAAAUUUCAUCACCCAGAGAGACAGCUUCCUAGCACCAGCCUCAGAGUUCCUUGAUGUGAUCUUCAGCCUCUCGCUUCUGUUGCCACACUGAGAAUCUCAUCAUACAUCCAACUCCUCUGACUUCAGAAAUACAGUCUUCACAUCUGGCCAGAACUUUCAUCCUAACUCGCUGUCUCAGUUACUCCCAGCACAGCAAUUCUCAGUUCCCUGACGUCUCAUUUCCAGUGCUCUUCCCAGCUCUGCUGCAGCCUCUACCUUCUCGGGUUUCUCUGAGUUGGGAACUCCAUUCCAGAGACUUCACUUCUUUCUCCCUAUCAGCCUUCUCCUGCCUUCACUUCUUUUGUCUCCUGCUGCAUUCUGUUUUAAGUUAUCACUCUUGCCUGGAACUAUGUCUCCUUUGCUGUGUUGCCCUGGUAUCACCUGGGAAAACACCAGUUUCACUGUCUGCUCCCAGGUUGCUGAGUGCACCCAGAUAGAGAAAAAUAACUGCUGUGCGUAUUGGCAGUUAUGUUCAGGCAGUUAUGAGCAGUUCAGUCGCUCAGUCAUGUCCAGCUCUUUGUGAUCCCACGGACUGCAGCUCACCAGGCUUCCCUGUCUGUCAUCAACUCCCAGAGCUUGUUCAAACUCAUGUCCAUUGAGUCGGUGAUGCCAUCCAACCAUCUCAUCCUCUGUCGUCCCCUUCUCCUCCUGCCUUUAAUCUUUCCCAGCAUCAGGGUCUUUUCCAGUGAAUCAGUUCUUCACAUCAGGUUUCCAAAGUAUUGGAGUUUGUUUCAGCUUCAGCAUCAGUCCUUCCAAUGAAUAUUCAGGACUGAUUUCUUUUAGGAUUGACUGGUUUGAUCUCCUUGCAGUCCAGGGGACUCUCGAGAGUCUUCUCCAGCACCACAAUUUAAAAGCAUCAGUUCUUCGAUGCUCAGCCUUCUUUAUGUGUUCAACUCUCACAUCCAUACAUGACUACUGAAAAAAACCAUAGCUUUGACUAGACAGACUUUUUUCAGUGCAAUAAAUUCACCUUUGUUGAUAAUGCUAAAUUGUCACUUUGUCAGUAACACUAAAUUCAGGACCUCCAAUCCUGGCUAGAUCAUUCUCUAUCCAUACUGUUGGGAAGAGAAGGUUUUCUUUAUAAUGUAUUAGUCUCUACCCAUCUGAACCUCCUGCUUCAUAAACCAAGAUACAAUGUUAUAAAUUCUUUGUAUACCCAAAAGUACUAGUAGGCUGAAUCAUUUCAAUUACAUUAACCUCUCUCUGAUUCUCUAAUUUAGCUUUUGUGCUUACUUUCCUGUUUUACUUUAUAUCAAUAGUUUGGGGUCUUGUCUAUCCAAUAAGGUAAAUGUUUAAUGUUUUUAAAAUUAAUAUUUGAAUAGUCAAAAAGAACAGUCUCAAACAUUAUGGAAUGAAAUGAUAAUGGAAGGGAAAUCACUACUACGAUACUUACCCUUUUAGAAGCAAAUCCAAGUAGUCUCCAGUUGUAACUUGGAGCCAGAGGCCUAAGGCUCAGCUCACUUGAUUCAUUCCAUUCUUGCCUUUCCCAGCUUCCCCUUUCCAUCAUUUCUGAUCCCACAAAUUUCUGAGAACACACUCCCUUUCCCGCCUGAACUAGCAGGCAAAGCAGUACUGCAUGGAUGGGCAACAGCAGUGUGUAUGUUUGUACAUAUACUUGUUUACUGAGUGGCGGCAUGGUUAAGAAUUCACUCUACAACCCAGCUUCCCUAGGUCCCUGCUCUGUGAUUUUGGGCAGAUUACUUUCUGUACCUCAGUUCUCCCAUCCGAGAUAUACAGAUGAUAAUACUAAGUUCCUACCUCACAGAGUGGUUGUGAGGAUUGAAUUGUUAUUUUAGUUACUAAGUUGUAUCUGAUUCUUUUGCAACCCCGUAGAUGGAGCCCACCAAGCCCCUUUGUCCAUGGGAUUUUCCAGGCAAGAAUACUGGAGUGGGUUGCUCUGCCUUUCUGCGGGGCAAUCUUCCUGAUCCAGGAAUUGAACCUGUGUCUCUUGCAUUGGCAGAAGAUUGAAUUAUGUGUUUUAAAUGAGUUAAUACCUUAAAACUGAAAUGAUAAAUGGCUGCCCGCCCAACUUAUGAUUCUUAGGCAACUCCAUUCUACCAACAAACCACUCAUUUUGAUUUGAUAACUCCUGACAACCUACAUUUUGACAACCCUACUUUGGAUGACUUUUCAAUAAAGCCAUGAAGAAUCGUGGGACUCUUGUAUACUUGAAGAGAAAUAUACUGUGAAAAAAAUGUAUGUAUCUUAAUUUCUUUCGAACUCUUGUAUCUUUCAAUACCUUGCUGCUUUAAAAUUUUUUUAAUUCAAUUCAGACAUUCGGGUAUUUAUUCUUUAUGAUCCCUAAUCAAACAUGAUCUGCUAUCAAUUUCCCUGUAAGCACUGCUUUUGUGUACUGCACAAAUUUUGGUAUAUUGUAUAUUAAGUUCAAAAUACUUUCUUGUAAUUUCUUCUUUUACCUAUGGGCUAUUUAAAAAUGUUAUUUAAUGUCUAGAUAUUUGGGGAUUUGCACAUAUAUUGUAUUUUAAUUUCACUAUAUAGUCAGAAAUCAUAUUUUUGAAAUUUCAGUCAUUUUCUUUUUUUUUGGAACUUGCUCUGAGGCCCAGCAAACAGCUUUUCUUGGUGCAUUUUCUUUGUGCACUUGAAAAGAAAUGUGUAUCCUGAAGUUUUUAGAUCGUAUUCUAUAAAUGUCAAUUAGACUAAGUUGGCUGAUUGUAUUAUAAAAGUCAUUUAUAUCUCUGCUGAUUUUCUCUUUGUUCUGCUAAGUCGCUUCAGUCGUGUCCGACUCUGUUUGGCCCCAUAGACGGCAGCCCACCAGGCUCUGCCGUCCCUGGGAUUCUCCAGUCAAGAACACGAGUGGGUUGCCAUUUCCUUCUCCAAGGCAUGAAAGUGAAAAGUGAAAGUGAAGUUGCUCAGUCGUGCCCGACUCUUAGCGACCCCAUGGACUGCAGCCUACCAGGCUCCUUCGUCCAUGAGAUUUUCCAGGCAAGAGUACUGGAGUGGGGUGCCAUUGCCUUCUCCGUCUCUUUGUUCUAUCAAUUACUUUAUUGAUCAAAGAAGGGCUGAAAUCUCUGUCAUUGUGAAUUUGUCUGUAUGUCCCUUUGUUUGAACUAGUUUUUAUUUCUUUUAUUUUAAAGCUCUAUUAUUAGCUGAAUGCAUAUUUAGAAUUGUCAUAAAUGUUUCUAAUGAUUGACUUUUAUUAUUAUGAAAUAUCCCUCUUUAUUUUUGGUAAUAUUCUUUGUCCCUCUAAAGUCUACUUUGUUUAAUGUUAAUAUAGCCAUUUCAGUUUUCUUAUAAUUAGUGUUUAUAUUGUGUAUCUUUUUAAAUCCUUUUACUUUUAAUCUAUCUCUGUGUUUAAAAUGUGUUUCUCAUAUACAGUAUAUAGUUAGGCCUUGCUUUAUUAUCCAGUCAGAUUUCUCUGCCUUUUAAUGAGAUGUGCCUAGUCCAUUUACGGCUACUGUAAUUAUUGGUAUGGGUGGUUGAAGUCUGCUCUCUUGCUGUUUGCUUUCUACUUAUGCCAUCUAUUCCAGGUUCUUUUUUCUUCUUUUCCUGCAUUCUUUUGAGAUGUUUGACUAUUUUAAAUCAUUUUAUCAUCUCUAUUGUUUAUUAGUUAUGGCUCUGUUUUAGCUUUUUAAGGGUUACAACACAUGUCUUUAACUUACCGCAAUCUACCUUCAAAUAAUACUAUACUACUCACCUUAUAAUAGUAUAUUUCCAUUUCUCCCUUCCAAUACUUUGUGUUUUUGUUGCCAGAUGUUUUACUUCUAUAUGUAUUUUAUACAUCCACAAUACAUUCUAAAUAUUUUGUUU
ensembl:lncRNA